rnacentral:miRNA from 1 species
GCUGUAGGCAUCUGGCAUUGCGGUUCCUGCAUGAAAACGGUGGCUGGCGGGGCCUGGACCUACAACACGACUUCUGCUGUCACAGUCAAGUCUGCC